rnacentral:rRNA from 1 species
AAUGGGUCAGCGACUUAUAUUCUGUAGCAAGGUUAACCGAAUAGGGGAGCCGAAGGGAAACCGAGUCUUAACUGGGCGUUAAGUUGCAGGGUAUAGACCCGAAACCCGGUGAUCUAGCCAUGGGCAGGUUGAAGGUUGGGUAACACUAACUGGAGGACCGAACCGACUAAUGUUGAAAAAUUAGCGGAUGACUUGUGGCUGGGGGUGAAAGGCCAAUCAAACCGGGAGAUAGCUGGUUCUCCCCGAAAGCUAUUUAGGUAGCGCCUCGUGAAUUCAUCUCCGGGGGUAGAGCACUGUUUCGGCAAGGGGGUCAUCCCGACUUACCAACCCGAUGCAAACUGCGAAUACCGGAGAAUGUUAUCACGGGAGACACACGGCGGGUGCUAACGUCCGUCGUGAAGAGGGAAACAACCCAGACCGCCAGCUAAGGUCCCAAAGUCAUGGUUAAGUGGGAAACGAUGUGGGAAGGCCCAGACAGCCAGGAUGUUGGCUUAGAAGCAGCCAUCAUUUAAAGAAAGCGUAAUAGCUCACUGGUCGAGUCGGCCUGCGCGGAAGAUGUAACGGGGCUAAACCAUGCACCGAAGCUGCGGCAGCGACACUAUGUGUUGUUGGGUAGGGGAGCGUUCUGUAAGCCUGUGAAGGUGGCCUGUGAGGG